rnacentral:misc_RNA from 1 species
GAUGAAGAACGUAGCGAAAUGCGAUAAGUAAUGCGAAUUGCAGAAUUUCCGUGAGUCAUCGAAUCUUUGAACGCACAUUGCGCCCACUGGUAUUCCGGUGGGCAUGCCUGUUCGAGCGUCAUUAUCCUCCCUCAAACCCCGGGUUUGGUGUUGGACCCAAGUUGUGUGAACAACUGGUCUCAAAGACAAUGACGGCGUCCGUGGGACCCUCGGUGCAACGAGCUUUUAGGAGCACGCAUCGAGUUGCAAGGACCUUCCGGGCCGGUCUCCUUUACCAUUUUACAAGGUUGACCUCGGAUCAGGUAGGAAUACCCGCUGAACUUAAGCAUAUCAUAAGCGGAGG